CCCAGAUUUCUUAAAAGUGAGAUACGUACCUAACCCAGCGAGUCCAAGACUGUUUGGAAAUGCUAAACACACAAAACCCCAUUAUCCUUUAGGCCUAUUGUCGAGAAGUGCAGGGCACCAACGUAUCCUCUGGAAAAAGCUGUGGCAAAAUAGAUAGGUAAGAAGAGAAAGAUGUAUCCACACACCAUACCAUCCUCUGAAGCAUUUGUACAAGAACUAAAUUCUGUAUCCCUCCAAGGCAACGAGCUGCUUCCAGUGUACGACUUCGAAAAAUUAUAUCUUGCACUUAAAAUUGCUCCAGUGUGUCUUCUGUUAUACAGGUUUUUCCUAGAAAACAUCCUCAAACGAACCAUAAUCCAGCCUUAUUUAGAGAUUUAGCAGACAUCUUGUGUAAC
rnacentral:lncRNA from 1 species